AGGUAAGCUACUAAGAGCGAAUGGUGGAUGCCUUGACUGGUAAAGGCGAUGAAGGACGUACUAGACUGCGAUAAGCUACGGGGAGCUGUCAAGAAGCUUUGAUCCGUAGAUUUCCGAAUGGGGCAACCCAAUGUAUAGAGAUAUACAUUACCUAUAUAGGAGCGAACGAGGGGAAUUGAAACAUCUUAGUACCCUCAGGAAAAGAAAUCAAUAGAGAUUGCGUCAGUAGCGGCGAGCGAAAGCGCAAGAGGGCAAACCCAGUGCUUGCACUGGGGGUUGUAGGACUGCAAUAUGCAAGAGGUAAGUUUAGCAGAACAUUCUGGAAAGUAUAACCAUAGAGGGUGAUAGUCCCGUAUGCGAAAAACAAAGCUUAGCUAGCAGUAUCCUGAGUAGGGCGGGACACGAGGAAUCCUGUCUGAAUCCGGGUCGACCACGAUCCAACCCUAAAUACUAAUACCAGAUCGAUAGUGCACAAGUACCGUGAGGGAAAGGUGAAAAGAACUGAGGUGAUCAGAGUGAAAUAGAACCUGAAACCAUUUGCUUACAAUCAUUCAGAGCCCUAUGUAGCAAUACAGGGUGAUGGACUGCCUUUUGCAUAAUGAGCCUGCGAGUUGUGGUGUCUGGCAAGGUUAAGCAAACGCGAAGCCGUAGCGAAAGCGAGUCUGAAUAGGGCGCUUAGUCAGAUGCUGCAGACCCGAAACGAAGUGAUCUAUCCAUGAGCAAGUUGAAGCUAGUGUAAGAACUAGUGGAGGACUGAACCCAUAGGCGUUGAAAAGCCCCGGGAUGACUUGUGGAUAGGGGUGAAAGGCCAAUCAAACUUCGUGAUAGCUGGUUCUCUCCGAAAUAUAUUUAGGUAUAGCGUUGUGUCGUAAUAUAAGGGGGUAGAGCACUGAAUGGGCUAGGGCAUACACCAAUGUACCAAACCCUAUCAAACUCCGAAUACCUUAUAUGUAAUCACAGCAGUCAGGCGGCGAGUGAUAAAAUCCGUCGUCAAGAGGGAAACAACCCAGACUACCAGCUAAGGUCCCUAAAUCUUACUUAAGUGGAAAACGAUGUGAAGUUACUUAAACAACCAGGAGGUUGGCUUAGAAGCAGCCAUCCUUUAAAGAAAGCGUAAUAGCUCACUGGUCUAGUGAUUUUGCGCGGAAAAUAUAACGGGGCUAAAGU
rnacentral:rRNA from 1 species